rnacentral:rRNA from 1 species
CCUACGGGAGGCUGCAGUGGGGAAUAUUGGACAAUGGGGGCAACCCUGAUCCAGCCAUGCCGCGUGUGUGAAGAAGGCCCUCGGGUUGUAAAGCACUUUCAGUGAGGAAGAACGCCUGGUGGUUAAUACCCAUCAGGGAAGACAUCACUCACAGAAGAAGCACCGGCUAACUCCGUGCCAGCAGCCGCGGUAAUACGGAGGGUGCGAGCGUUAAUCGGAAUUACUGGGCGUAAAGCGCGCGUAGGUGGCUUGAUAAGCCGGUUGUGAAAGCCCCGGGCUCAACCUGGGAACGGCAUCCGGAACUGUCAAGCUAGAGUGCAGGAGAGGAAGGUAGAAUUCCCGGUGUAGCGGUGAAAUGCGUAGAGAUCGGGAGGAAUACCAGUGGCGAAGGCGGCCUUCUGGACUGACACUGACACUGAGGUGCGAAAGCGUGGGUAGCAAACAGGAUUAGAUACCCUGGUAGUC